GGGGCAGUAGUUCAGUGGGAGAACGCCUGAUUUGCACUCAGGAGGUCACGGGUUCAAAUCCCGUCUGCUCCACCA
rnacentral:tRNA from 1 species